rnacentral:rRNA from 1 species
CCUACGGGAGGCAGCAGUGGGGAAUAUUGCACAAUGGGGGAAACCCUGAUGCAGCGACGCCGCGUGAGCGAUGAAGUAUUUCGGUAUGUAAAGCUCUAUCAGCAGGGAAGAAAAUGACGGUACCUGACUAAGAAGCCCCGGCUAACUACGGGCCAGCAGCCGCGGUAAUACGUAAGGGGCAAGCGUUAUCCGGAUUUACUGGGUGUAAAGGGAGCGUAGACGGUCCUGCAAGACAGAUGUGAAAGUCCGGGGCUCAACCCCGGGACUGCAUUUGGAACUGUAAGGCUUGAGUGUCGGAGAGGCAUGCGGAAUUCCUAGUGUAGCGGUGAAAUGCGUAGAUAUUACGAGGAACACCAGUGGCGAAGGCGGCCUGCUGGACGAUGACUGACGUUGAGGCUCGAAAGCGUGGGGAGCGAACAGGAUUAGAUACCCCAGUAGUC